GAACCCUGCCAUUGCUUUAGACAAUCAGAAGCCUUCUCAAUAAGUACAUCAGGUUUUGCAAACCUGAUCCUCCUUCAGAGGCAUGAGGGAAGCCCACUGAGUGAAACCCACAGUGAAUUUUGGAGAUGUGACCUCCCAAGACAUCAGUUUUCCAAUUCCAAAUUCUCAGGAGAAAUCAUCUAAUUGGCUCAACUUUGACCAGAUGUCCACUCCUUGUCUGAUUUCUGAACAGCUCCUCACGGAAGGUGGCAGAAAGUAAUGCUCAGAGAAGGGAUGUAAGUCGGACAGAUAUCCUAAAAGGUCACUAAGCCAAUACUUCCUGUAUUUCGUUGUUGUCGAUUAAUCGGAGGCUUAGACUUUUUUUUGUGGGGGAAGGAUGGAGGGGAGAAAUAACUGCAUUUCUCUGAUGGCCUUUCCUAAUCUUAAAAACCACUUCAGUGCUAGACUUUAUCUUUCAGUCGCAAUGAACCUGAAGAUUCUUCGGCUGGUUUUUAGAAAUGUUCAAAUAGGAUAGACUCUUACACAGGGGUGUAAUUUCCUCAAGAAAAUACACAUUUAGGUGCUUCAGUCUUUUCUUCUUAUUCCAUCCUUUUCUGAUAGGGCAGUCACUUCAGACACUUCAUCCACUAUCACUUUAGGUUCCAACUGUUCUUUUCACAUUUUUGCAUUAGAAAUAAGACUUCUUCUCAUUUUGGAAAAAUCAAUGUAUGAACCAUAGUCAAACAAUGAAAAUUCUAAAACACUUCACUACAGAAAAAUGGAAUCUCCAGAGUUAAGGGGGGAGGAAGGCAUUGGAAGGAGGUUACCAUUUGAAUCUCUACCGUUAAGUCAGGCACUAUGCUGAAUGCUUAUAUUUUAAUACAACAAUCCUAUCAACAGGGAGUACUAUUGUUAGCCUCUUCAUGGAUGAUGAAAAUGAGGUUUUAAGGUAAGAAAACUACCAAUAUCACACAUCUAGUAAGUAGCUUAGCAUAGAUUCAGAAGCAAGAGUUAAAAGGUGAAAAAUGGGGAAAAGGACUGAAGGAGAUAGGCCUUCUCAGGAUAUCAUUCUUAACAUCAAAAACUGUAUCUUAAACGUAUUUAAUACAAUGAAGUGGCAUGAAUCAUGUUACAUGACAAUAUACAUGACACCUUUUUAAAAAAUAUAUUCAUAUCAUGAAGACUUUAUAACAUCAAAUAAAAGCCAACAUGGGAAAAAAAAAAACCUUGUAUACCCUUUAGACUCCAGAUUUGGCCAAGCGUGGUGGCUCACGCCUAUAAUCCCAACACUUUGGGAGGCAGAGGUGGAAGGAUCACUUGAGCCCAGGAAUUCAAGACCAGCCUAGGCAAUAUAGUGAGACCCCAUCUCUACAAAACAAAUUAAAAUUAACUGAGCAUGGUGGUGUGCACCUGUGGUCCAAGCUACUUAAGAGGCCGAAGUGGGGAGGAUUGCUUGAGACCAGUAAGUGGAGUCUGCAGUAAGCCAUGAUUGCACCACUGCACUGUGUGACAGAGACAGACCCUGUCAAAUAUAGGGAAAAAACAAACAAUAAACCCUGGACUAGAAUGAAUUUUUCUGGGGAGAAGGUGUAGGAUUCCAAAAAGACUAGGAAUCACUGACAAAAAAAAUUCUUCUCUUUUGCAAUUUGGCAGCCCCUCUUAAAAAUUUUUCCACUCUGUCCCUCACAAAGUCCCCCAUCACCCAACAUACCACACUGUACCUUUGCAAACGCCAUUUCUGCUGAGUUUCCCAGACUUCAUGCAGAAUUCUCCCUCUUCUAGGUUUCUACAGUACUUUGUUUCUGCCACUAAUAUAUAUAUUUACAUUAUACGCAAAUCUGUCUGAACAAGGCAAGGGGCCAAUGUUGUUUCUUCAACACUAAAUAAAAUUAUGAGGUGAUUUCACAAAAAUAUCAAAUUUGUACCAAAGAUAUCAAUUAAUUUGUUUUGUGCUUAUUGUCAGACAACAAAAGACUUAGUACUCAUUCAUGGCAGUCAGUUUUAAACAUACUGUUUAGUGAAAAAUAAUUCUUUUACAACAAAAACGAUUGUUACCAGCUUCAUAUA
rnacentral:lncRNA from 1 species